AGUAUUUUGACUAUACAAAGGUAUUGAAAUAAGACUUUAAUUGAGUGCUAAGAGAAUGGAAUUUCAUAAAAUUUCUUUUUUAAUUUUAAAAAUUGAAAUUAAUUUUAUAUGUGAAGAAACAAUAAUAAAAAUUAAGGACAAGAAGACCCUAAGAAUUUUAAAGAUUUCAAUAAAAUACAAAAUUUUAUUGAAAUCUUUUAAUUGGGGCGAUUAUUAAAUAUUAAAAACUUUAAUUUUUUUAAAAAAGAACCAAUAAUAUUGGUUAUUUGAAAAAAUACUCUAGGGAUAACAGCGUAAUAAUUUUUGAUAGUUCUUAUAGACAAAAUAGUUUGCGACCUCGAUGUUGGAUUAGGAUUCUUUUUUAAUGAAGAAGUUAAAAAAAGAAGUUUGUUCAACUUUUAAAAUCCUA
rnacentral:rRNA from 1 species